UACGUAGGGGGCAAGCGUUGUCCGGAUUUAUUGGGCGUAAAGAGCGUGUAGGCGGCCAAGCAGGUCUGCUGUGAAAACUCGAGGCUCAACCUCGAGACGUCGGUGGAAACCGUUUGGCUAGAGUCCGGAAGAGGAGAGUGGAAUUCCCGGUGCAGCGGUGAAAUGCGCAGAUAUCGGGAAGAACACCCGUGGCGAAGGCGGCUCUCUGGGACGGUACUGACGCUGAGACGCGAAAGCGUGGGGAGCGAACAGG
rnacentral:rRNA from 1 species